rnacentral:lncRNA from 1 species
UUGAUGUCAUUGAAUCAAGUGUAGACUAGAUUGGGUUGGUUGAUACAACUUAGUGACUUAGAACCAUAAGAAAUAUCCAUUUGUUUGUCUCAAACCACGUUAACCAUUUUCCAUUAUAACUUGUUUCCUGUAGUGAAGAAACAUGAAAAAAGCAAGAAAUAAGAAGAGAUAAUCAAGAGACGAAAAAAAUACAUGAACAAAAAAUUGUAAGAGAAAAGAAGAAUGAAUGAAGAGAUAGAAAGAAAGAAAAAAAAUAAAAAAAC